rnacentral:lncRNA from 1 species
GGAGCAAUGGGGAACAAGUGAAAUCACAGUUAAAUCACACCCAAAACUUCUAAUUCAAUCCUCUUCUUGACUCUAUUAUUCACACAAUAAUUUUUUUUUUUAAUUUUCUCCUUUUUCUGUAUUUUUCUCUUUUUUUUUUCAUCUUGUCUCUUUUCUUUUCUCUCUUUUCAGAACACAACUUUAAGAGACAAGAUACUAAACAUAUUUACAAAAAUGAAAACAAGAAGAGGAUCCAACUAGCCAAUUCUCUGAAUGUCCCAAGAGACCACACUUAU